GUGUGUGUCACAAAUACAAGCCUGACCAGGACUACAACAUGAGCGACGCAGAGGCAGCAGGGGGCCAGGGCACACGCUCUGCAGGGACAGUACUGAUUCACACGGUGCUGGAAGGGGGUGAAGCCAAAAGCCAGUGUUAAUUGAAGCCUAGCAGAAAAGGGAGCAAAACCAAGGCCGUUUAUCCACCAGUCAGUGCAGAGCCACCAGCUUUGAGUAUGAAAAAGAGGAACGGAAAGAGAAAAAAGCAUCCCAUUUCAUCUCUGCAGGAACAUGACGGAGGAAUAAAAGCCAUACUAAAGUUCAAUGGUGCCUGUGAGUUUCUCUUCCUCCCGCAAUUUGUCACAAGCUGAGAGGUCCAUCCGAUUGGUGCACUCAGUUGUCCGGAUGAGUGCCUGAGGGGUUCGGUCAGGCACACAGAUACAAUUCUGCAACAUGGUUCAGCAGCUCGCCAUGUGCCAUGCAGCUGGAAGUUUGAAAGCAGAAGGCCACAGUCCCUGAGAGUAUUUGGUAGGAGUCGAGUCAUUUAAUAGGUUUUUGUAUGACAAUUUAAAGCCAACAAAAGUAUCUAAAGUGCAUUUACUUGGUACCAAAUGAUGCCUAAUUUUUUUGUCACAAUUGAUGAUUAUGCACUUAUAAAACAUAAUGUGGAAUAAUA